GCAUGCAGGUGAGAAGGGAAGAUACAUGUAAUCUGCAUGUCUGCCACCAUUCCUUGUUACCCUUUUUCAUAUCCCAUGAGCACAGCACUCCAGCGGACCUACCCAAAAUAUGUGGGAGUUCAGUGAAACUCAAAUGAAACGACUAGGAGUUGAAGACUUGCCCACACAGUCAAUGGAAAAGAGGAGAGAGAAUUCAGCUCCCUAUGCGAGGCUUGUGGGGCAGGAAGGCUUCUUAUGAGAUAGAGCUGCAUCCUUCCUUCUGCGAGAGCAAGCCUGAACCUAUGUUUGCAGCAGACUUAAGGAGAGUGGUCCUCAGAGGGGUCAGAGCAAGCAUGCUUCUGGUCAGCCUAUACAGUCUCUGUCCUGGUGAGGAGCAUGAUCACCAACAGGCAAGAUCUUCUGGCCUUGAAGUUUCGCUUGAGUUAAAAGAGCUCAUCUCAGGACUUUCUGAAUUUUCAGCCCAUAUGACAUGGAAGAAGAGUUAGAAGGGGAAUCUGACUGCUUGGAUCAGGGACUGUCUGGCUGGUGGAACUUGAAUAGAUGUACAGUGCGCCACUCUGAGGAUCAAGUCUGACCCUGCCUUUAAAUUUGGAUUCAAAGUACUUAGAUUUUCUGGAAUCCCAUUCUACAAUCUUCUGGUCGAAAGUAUAAAACCAGUCUGCAGGUGUACCCAACAGCUCCGAAGAGACAGUGACAUCGAGAACGGGCCAUGAUGACGAUGGCGGUUUUGUCGAAAAGAAAAGGGGGAAAUGUGGGGAAAAGCAAGAGAGAUGAGAUUGUUACUGUGUCUGUAUAGAAAGAAGUAGACAUAGGAGACUCCAUUUUGUUCUGUACUAAGAAAAAUUCUUCUGCCUUGAGAUGCUGUUAAUCUAUGACCUUACCCCCAACCCCGUGCUCUCUGAAACAUGUGCUGUGUCAAACUCAGGGUUAAAUGGAUUAAGGGCGGUGCAAGAUGUGCUUUGUUAAACAGAUGCUUGAAGGCAGCAUGCUCAUUAAGAGUCAUCACCACUCCCUAAUCUCAAGUACCCAGGGACACAAACACUGCGAAAGACCGCAGGGACCUCUGCCUAGGAAAGCUAGGUAUUGUCCAAGGUUUCUCCCCAUGUGAUAGUCUGAAAUAUGGCCUCGUGGGAAGGGAAAGACCUGACCAUCCCCCAGACCAACACCCGUAAAGGGUCUGUGCUGAGGAGGAUUAGUAUAAGAGGAAAGCAUGCCUCUUGCAGUUGAGAGAAGAGGAAGACAUCUGUCUCCUGCCCAUCCCUGGGCAAUGGAAUGUCUCAGUAUAAAACCCGAUUGAACAUUCCAUCUACUGAGAUAGGGAAAAACUGCCUUAGGGCUGGAGGUGGGACAUGUGGGCAGCAAUACUGCUUUGUAAAGCAUUGAGAUGUUUAUGUGUAUGCAUAUCUAAAAGCACAGCACUUGAUCCUUUACCUUGUCUAUGAUGCAAAGACCUUUGUUCACGUG
ensembl:lncRNA novel transcript, antisense to CD48